UUAUUUACAAUAACAACUUGGAUAUAUAAACCAGAACAGAUUGAAAUUAAAAUUAAAAAAUAAAACUAAAAUAAGAUAGUUUGUUGGACUACCAAUUAACGGUGGAAGAAUCCAGGAAAAUAAACCCUCGCCGCCUGGCUGUUGGGUUUCCAAGGGAUUAUGGGUUCGGAAAACAAAAAAAGCAGUACACUAAUAUACACUAUUUAAUGAAAAACAAAUGAAUACUAAACGUGAGAGAAAUACUAAAUAAUAAGCAGUACACCAAUAAACAAAUGA
rnacentral:lncRNA from 1 species